rnacentral:rRNA from 1 species
CAGCCGCCGCGGUAAUACGGAGGGAGCUAGCGUUGUUCGGAAUUACUGGGCGUAAAGCGCGCGUAGGCGGUUAUUUAAGUCAGGGGUGAAAGCCCGGUGCUCAACACCGGAACAGCCCUUGAGACUGGAUAACUUGAAUCCAGGAGAGGUGAAUGGAAUUCCGAGUGUAGAGGUGAAAUUCGUAGAUAUUCGGAAGAACACCAGUGGCGAAGGCGGCUCACUGGACUGGUAUUGACGCUGAGGUGCGAAAGCGUGGGGAGCAAACAGGAUUAGAUACCCCAGUAGUCCCUGUCUCUUAUAC